GGUACCAUUUUGAGAGGUUAUGUACUUUGAUGGUGAGGGUGCUAGUUGGAGAGCCGUUUUGAGAGAUGAAGAAGAAUAUAAAUCAGUAUGUAAAUGUUGAAUGUCAAAUGUAAUAGCUAGAACUAUCUCUGUUUAUUCACUUGUAUGUUACUUGUGAUUCUUGCUCUUAAUUGUAUCGCACUUGUGGUGCUUCUUACACUUGCAUGUAUCAUGUAUGUUGAUUGAGUC
rnacentral:lncRNA from 1 species